GCAGUCGAACGGCAGCGGGGGUAGCUUGCUACCUGCCGGCGAGUGGCGAACGGGUGAGUAAUACAUCGGAACGUGCCCUGUAGUGGGGGAUAACUAGUCGAAAGACUAGCUAAUACCGCAUACGACCUGAGGGUGAAAGUGGGGGACCGCAAGGCCUCAUGCUAUAGGAGCGGCCGAUGUCUGAUUAGCUAGUUGGUGGGGUAAAGGCCCACCAAGGCGACGAUCAGUAGCUGGUCUGAGAGGACGAUCAGCCACACUGGGACUGAGACACGGCCCAGACUCCUACGGGAGGCAGCAGUGGGGAAUUUUGGACAAUGGGGGCAACCCUGAUCCAGCAAUGCCGCGUGUGUGAAGAAGGCCUUCGGGUUGUAAAGCACUUUUGUCCGGAAAGAAAUCGCUUCGGUUAAUACCUGGAGUGGAUGACGGUACCGGAAGAAUAAGGACCGGCUAACUACGUGCCAGCAGCCGCGGUAAUACGUAGGGUCCAAGCGUUAAUCGGAAUUACUGGGCGUAAAGCGUGCGCAGGCGGUUGUGCAAGACCGAUGUGAAAUCCCCGGGCUUAACCUGGGAAUUGCAUUGGUGACUGCACAGCUAGAGUGUGUCAGAGGGAGGUAGAAUUCCACGUGUAGCAGUGAAAUGCGUAGAGAUGUGGAGGAAUACCGAUGGCGAAGGCAGCCUCCUGGGAUAACACUGACGCUCAUGCACGAAAGCGUGGGGAGCAAACAGGAUUAGAUACCCUGGUAGUCCACGCCC
rnacentral:rRNA from 1 species